rnacentral:rRNA from 1 species
UACAGAGGUCUCAAGCGUUGUUCGGAUUCAUUGGGCGUAAAGGGUGCGUAGGUGGCGCCAUAAGUCAGGUGUGAAAUCUCGGGGCUCAACCCCGAAACUGCAUUUGAUACUGUGGUGCUCGAGUACUGGAGAGGAGAUUGGAAUUUACGGUGUAGCAGUGAAAUGCGUAGAUAUCGUAAGGAAGACCAGUGGCGAAGGCGAAUCUCUGGACAUUUCCCGACGCUGAGGAGCGAAAGCGUGGGGAGCGAACAGG